rnacentral:lncRNA from 1 species
UCUAAAGGUUACAUUCUUACGAUAGUGCAUACAGCUGUUCCGGGUUCAAACGUUGUAACAGGUGUCAACGUUCACCCUUACCUGAGACAGUAGUGUAAAUUAUCCAUCGAAAUGGUUCAUCUCCUUAAAAAGACAUUUAAACAAAAAACAGGUAAACAUUCCCGGAACUAACCAGUUUCAUCUAUGAAUCAAUCUCAAUGGAAUAUUUUAAAAAGCGUAGAUGAUUUUAUAAUAUAGACAAUACAGUAACAGCACAACGUACACACGUGAGUUUAAAUAUAAUUAUAUUGUUGUUAUGAGUAAAAAGAAAACAUUUUUUUUUACAUUUUCGGAGUCUUUAUAGCUGACUGUACGGUGUGAGCCAAAGCUCUGUGUUGAAUGUCGUAUUUUAACUUACAAUCGGUAGCUUUGUAUACUAGUGUAUUGUGACUCUCUUGAAGAGUUGUGUCAUGCAGAGGCACUCAUAUCCACAUCUUCUUAUAAAAAUUGUACUAUAUUGAUUGUUUUCUAAGUUCAAACAUUUCUUAGCAUAAAUUUCAACAAUUUUCUAUUCCUUAAAAUUAGACUUUCUUGAACAAAAGUGAAUUGAACACGACAAUUGAGUUUUUUAUGCUUGUGUUUAUAUGUCCGCACUUCUAGAUUUGUCUAACUCAGUCUGCAUUCUUAUCUCUUAAAGAAUGUCGAUCAACUGAAAAUUCGUGAUACAGAGAGAUUCAUGAAAUUCUGUUAAUCUAAGACCAGUAAAAAACUACAUAGCUUUAAAUACUGCCAAAGAUAGAUAGAAUUGUCAGUUGUAUUUUGUCUAACUGUAUUUUUCAUUUACUGAAUUAAUUAUUUCAUAUUCUUCAGGAUGACGUAUGACUGGAAAACAUUCGUUAUUGCUGUAAUCCUGGGAUCUUUGUCAUAUUUGUAUUAUGUGGAAUCUAAAAAACGGAUUGUUUUCGUAGCCCAAUUGAGAAGUCUCAUCUUUACUGUAAUAGCCAUUACAAAAGAAUUAGAAAAGUACAAUCACUCAGCAACAUUUGUGCUUUCAACAUCAAUGGACAAAGAAAUACGUUCCAAUGGAUUGUCGAUUAAUUCUGUAGUAGCAAAAAGUCUUAAUAAUGCGUCCAUUCUCAUGACGUUCAACUUAUAUCGGAAUUAAAAAGGAAUGGUUCUAAGUCUUUUUCCUUACUUCAAUUACUGGGAAAUGCAUCUGAUCACUGUCAUUCGUUUUUGACAGAUGAUGAACUCUUUGGAAUCUUAAAAGCUGCAAAGUUUGACUAUGCCAUCGUUAACUAUGCAUGCUCCUUUUGUUUGCUACUAAAACAAACUUUCAUUACCCUUCAUUUUAAGUUCUGCCCACUAUGAUUCAAUUCGCCACCGAACGCCAUUUAAGCCUGCCUAUAUGCCAGCAUAUGCAGUAUGGUCAGGAUAUACAGAGAAAAUGGCAUUCCUAGAACGCAUGAUUAAUACCGUAUUGUAUAGUAUUCAUCUUAUCAAACCCACAAUGUCUUCAUUUGGCAAUCUAGUUGAUAAAUAUGUUCCAGAAAAGCCGUUUAUGUCAAACAGCGAAUUGAAAAGUAGCUUUUUGCUGCACAUAAUUAAGGGGGAUAUUUUAAUGGAUUAUCCAAUUCCCAUUACCUCGAAUGCCAUUUUAUGCGGUGUAUUAGCAGCCAGGCCCGCUAAAUCGUUGAUAUCUAGGAUAGAGGCAUUUGUUGAGAAGUCUAAAGAUGGCUUAGUUAUCGUUGCCUUUGGUAGCAUAAUUAAGUCAUGCCCUGAAAAUAUAAUGAUUAAAUUAAUUUCAUCUUUUCAAAAGUUGAAGCAUUUUAAUUUUAUUUUUCGUAAUGGAGCUUAGGACAAAAAGAAACAAAAGAAUCACUGAAGUGCAACAAAAACAAACGCCAACAUACAUAGAAACGAACUAUUUUAUAACAUCUGCCAUUUUCCUGACUUGGUAAAGGGCUUUUUAAGAAAAUGUGGUUGGUUGAACCUAGGUUAAAAGACUAGCAAAACUGUCCGCAUAAAAAUACUUGUAAACGUCUAUUCAAGUAUAAGGAUGAACACAUACGCAACCACGUCUACUAAGAUUUUAUACAGAGCAAGUUAACCUGUAAGAAAAAAUUAGCACUAUAAACACAAAAAGAAUCUCAUUGUAUCACAUUUUUUAGAUGGGACGGACACAGUUCCCUUAUGUUUCAAAGAAGAAUAUUUCAAUAUGAUUUCAUUUCAUAAUGUUCCUAAAUUUUUUUCUUGAUAAAUUAAGACUUUUAUCAUUUGUGUCUAUAAAGAAAAUGUUAGACUGUCUGAUAUGAAUUAAAUUUGCAGGCAUUUUAUUAAAUUGUAUCAAUCGAUUGCUGUCUUGUGUAGAUUGACCACACGUCUAUUUUUACUUCUAUAA